UACUAGAGUAGCACUCGCAUAUCAAUAAGCGGAGGAAAAGAAACUAACAAGGAUUCCCCUAGUAACGGCGAGUGAAGCGGGAAGAGCUCAAAUUUGAAAUCUUAAAGGGUUUCCCUUUACGAAUUGUAGUUUAAAGAAGUGUUUUCUGUUGAGGUUUUGGUAAAAGUUCUUUGGAAUAGGACAUCAUAGAGGGUGAGAAUCCCGUAUUUGACCUUUACUUUCAACUUUGUGAUACACUUUCAAAGAGUCGGAUUGUUUGGGAAUGCAGUCCAAAAUGGGUGGUAAAUUUCAUCUAAAGCUAAAUAUUGGCGAGAGACCGAUAGCGAACAAGUACCGUGAGGGAAAGACGAAAAGAACUUUGAAAAGAGAGUUAAACAGUACGUGAAAUUGUCAAAAGGGAAGCGUUUGACACCAGUGUUGUUUUUCUGAAAAUCAAUUAAAGAACUGUUUAUGCUAAGCUGUUUAGACUUUAUCAGCUAUCUGCUUAGUUUUGAGCUUUUCUUUAAUGCACUUUUCAGUUAACAAGUCAACAUCAAUUUCUUUUGCUGUAAAAAAGCUUGAGGAAGGUGGCUUGAGAUUCGUCUUAAGUGUUUAUAGCCUCUUGCCUAUGCAGUCGGAGAGAUUGAGGUCUGCAGCGUAGAUCCUUCGGGGCUAAAUGCAUUUGUGCUAAGUUAUAGCAUUUUAUAGACAACUUGUUGACUAUGAUUUGUCUUGUAGCUUACUCGCUUAUGUUAUUUUACCUACGCUUAGGAUGUUGAUCUACAGAGCGAGAGU
rnacentral:rRNA from 1 species